rnacentral:rRNA from 1 species
CAGUAGCCGCGGUAAGACAGAGGAUGCAAGCGUUAUCCGGAAUGAUUGGGCGUAAAGCGUCUGUAGGUGGCUUUUCAAGUCCGCCGUCAAAUCCCAGGGCUCAACCCUGGACAGGCGGUGGAAACUACCAAGCUGGAGUACGGUAGGGGCAGAGGGAAUUUCCGGUGGAACGGUGAAAUGCGUUGAGAUCGGAAAGAACACCAGCGGCGAAAGCACUCUGCUGGGUCGACACUGACACUGAGAGACGAAAGCUAGGGGAGCAAAUGGGAUUAGAGACCCCUGUAGUCCCUGUCUCUUAUAC